rnacentral:rRNA from 1 species
UACAGAGGUCUCAACCGUUGUUCGGAUUCAUUGGGCGUAAAGGGUGCGUAGGCGGUCGCGCAAGUCGGAUGUGAAAUCUCAGGGCUCAACCCUGAAACUGCAUUCGAUACUGCGUGGCUAGAGUACUGGAGAGGAGACUGGAAUUUACGGUGUAGCAGUGAAAUGCGUAGAUAUCGUAAGGAAGACCAGUGGCGAAGGCGAGUCUCUGGACAGUAACUGACGCUGAGGCACGAAAGCCAGGGGAGCAAACGGG